ensembl:lncRNA
GUGCUUCCUUGGGCUGAACCCAGAAAGAGGGACAAAGGACAACCAGGGGACGGUGGUGUCUACAAGGACAGGGAAACUGGUCCAGAAGGAGGCAACUGUCAAUCCCCAUGUGGCCACCCUGAUAAAAAACCUCUUGGACUUUGAGUGGGGCUUCAUGUGGCAUAUUUCCACACAGGACACUGGACAUUGGAAAAAAGAACACCAAGAUGGAGUGUGUUACCUCUCCUUCCUCCCUAGGACGGCGAGACUGUGGCACAGAGAAGACUGACAACAGGUGAAACAGGUAUUCCAGAGGGACACUUUAACAAGGGCUGGAAGAGGCCCAGGCCUCCGCAUGUCAGACUCUGAACAAAUGCCAGCCCCUCUGCCCCCCUUCUCUCUCUCUCUCCCUCCCAGUGCCUGACCCUCUCGGUGCUAUCGCUCCCUCGGUUCCAUCCGAGUCGACACUGCGUGCCGGCAGGAAACCCAGCCAAGUAGGCUUCCUGAGCGAGCGGGAGAGGAAGUACAGUAAUAAGGGAUAAAGGAAGGGGGUGUGGGGUUUAAAAAUAACCCGCCUAUAUAAGCUGAGGCAGGAGCCCACUCUGACUCUCUCUCUGCUGCGGACAGAGGCCUCCGCGUUCUCUCUCGCACUCGAAAAGAUCAUCACAGCUUUCCUGCCGUGCGGAGGAAAGUGGAGAAGCCAAAGCAGGUGUUACCAAGAAGUUUAACAAAGACAUAAACUAUGUGCGCCGAGGAGAGACGCUUUAUCCGCAGAACAGGCUGCAACAACUUUGAGUAAGGGGAAAAACUCCUCCGUCCUCGGUAUCACUGCCUUCAGCAUGUUUCCAACCCCUCCACGGGACCGGCUUCGCUCUCCACAUGAAGAACAUCUGUGAAUAUGACAACGCGCCGUUGGCUCUUGGUGACUAGCGGACCAUCUUGCUGAAACAGCUGAUCGAUGCAGACACACGCGGCAUCCUCUCCGUGUUAACAACAUCUGCUCUAUCAGACCCGAGAAACCCUAGAAAAUUAUAUGGAGAGCAAAAAAACCUGACUUUCAACACGUUGUCAAAAAGCUGUGGUAAUUUCACUUGUUCCUGGAAAGCAUCCUAAUGUGAGACUCGACGGAGACGGAAGGCCCCGAGCCAUCUGGCGAACCCAGUUUUCAGAUCUCUGUAUUUUAAAAAUAUUCAUGAGAACUAGAACAACGCAACACACGCUUACAUCUGCUUAAUGUGUCCUGCCACCACACAGUGUGUGUCACAGCAUUUACCCGUCCCUUCGCUGCAGGGUACAGCAUGUCCCGUAACACCUGUUGAAAUUACAUAGCUAUUAGCACAAACCAUUUAGCAUGUUGGCAGAAUAUAUGUAGGCUAGCAAGAUUGACAUCAUGGAGUAUGUACUGUACUUGCUUACCGGUACUAUAUUAUAAUGGCUCUGGACUGGAUUAGAGAUGAAAUAAAAAAGGCCCUCAGCUUGUGAACCUCUCAUGUGUAAAGUUCCAAAUCACAUACAUUUGAGAAAUUCAACAGCAAUGUCUCUUAUCAGAAAGUGUGACCUGGGUACUCGGGAUAAUAAAC